rnacentral:lncRNA from 1 species
UUGAGGUCAAGGUCGGGUCAAGGUCAUAUUCUAAAUUUUGAAUUUUGCUUGUUAUCGUUAUUCAAAAGAAACUGUUACAUGAUGUGUUUGCCAAAUAACUGUUUACAAUAAGGCGCAACUUCAACCCAUUUAAGUCGAAGUGUUUUGGUCAACCCUUAUAGGAGUUUCCUCCCCUUUUGUAUUUGAAAUCGGUAUUUCUCCACACCUAUACAAGUGAUUGACCUGGGGUCUUUUGAUUUGAGAUCACUGACAUAUGACCUUGAAUUUGAGGUCAAGGUCAAAGGUCAAUAUGACGUUCUAGAUUUUGACCUUUGCUAAAAAUUCUUUCUUGUUUAUUAUAAAAAAAUUAAGCCUUCUGCAUAUACCUAUUAAUCUUA